GAGGGUACAGCUCAGUGGUAGAGCUCAUGCUUAGCAUGCAUGAGGUCCUGGGUUCAACCCCCAGCACCACCA
rnacentral:tRNA from 1 species